UACGGGGGGAGCAAGCGUUGUUCGGAUUUACUGGGCGUAAAGGGCGCGUAGGCGGCGUGACAAGUCACUUGUGAAAUCUCCGGGCUUAACUCGGAACGGUCAAGUGAUACUGUCGUGCUAGAGUACAGAAGGGGCAACUGGAAUCCUCGGUGUAGCGGUGAAAUGCGUAGAUAUCGAGAGGAACACCUGCGGCGAAGGCGGGUUGCUGGGCUGAUACUGACGCUGAGGCGCGAAAGCCAGGGGAGCAAACGGG
rnacentral:rRNA from 1 species